CAGGACGAACGCUGGCGGCGUGCUUAACACAUGCAAGUCGAACGAUGAAGCCCUUCGGGGUGGAUUAGUGGCGAACGGGUGAGUAACACGUGGGCAAUCUGCCCUUCACUCUGGGACAAGCCCUGGAAACGGGGUCUAAUACCGGAUAACACUCCUGCCUGCAUGGGCGGGGGUUAAAAGCUCCGGCGGUGAAGGAUGAGCCCGCGGCCUAUCAGCUUGUUGGUGGGGUAAUGGCCUACCAAGGCGACGACGGGUAGCCGGCCUGAGAGGGCGACCGGCCACACUGGGACUGAGACACGGCCCAGACUCCUACGGGAGGCAGCAGUGGGGAAUAUUGCACAAUGGGCGAAAGCCUGAUGCAGCGACGCCGCGUGAGGGAUGACGGCCUUCGGGUUGUAAACCUCUUUCAGCAGGGAAGAAGCGAAAGUGACGGUACCUGCAGAAGAAGCGCCGGCUAACUACGUGCCAGCAGCCGCGGUAAUACGUAGGGCGCAAGCGUUGUCCGGAAUUAUUGGGCGUAAAGAGCUCGUAGGCGGCUUGUCGCGUCGGAUGUGAAAGCCCGGGGCUUAACCCCGGGUCUGCAUUCGAUACGGGCAGGCUAGAGUGUGGUAGGGGAGAUCGGAAUUCCUGGUGUAGC
rnacentral:rRNA from 1 species